rnacentral:lncRNA from 1 species
GACGCACCACAGAGCCCUCGGCCGAGCGGCCGCUAACACCGUCCCGCCUCGAGACCAUCCCGGCGCCGCGACCCCGCGGAGACGGCCUCCGGGCGUCCGGCCGCUCGGGACGUCUCCCCCUGUCCCUCCUCGUCCCAGCGCGCCCGAGCCCGUCCCCGGUCCCACGGCCCCGCCGAGCUACCUGGAUCCGCUUCUUGUGUCGCCUGCGUUCCGCCAUGUUGGCCGCUCCGCCCGGUUCCUUCUGACGUGGAGCGAGUCGGGGAGGGGGCGGCUGAGAUCUCGCGAGAGCGCGGCGGCUCGCGGCCCGUUAUGUAACCCGCCGCGGGCUCUGGGCUGGGGGCGGCCUCCGUGGUCUUCCCGCCGUCCGUGCGGUGGCGGACGACGCGGGCUGCUUCUGCUUCUGGUCCCGGAGGCCGGCGCCACGUGAGUCAGAGCGCUGGAGGCUGGCAAGUCGCGUCGGCUCUCAGCCCUGACUGAACGCCCGAGUCACCUGGCUGGCGUGUAAACACAGAUCCCCGGGCCCCGCCCCUCAGAGUCGCUGACGCCGCCGGGACCACCGGGGCGCACAGCGUCACCUGUGGCGCUUCCUGCCCCAGCGAGCCCCGUGGCACCCCACUUCAGUCCCGCCAAGUUCCCCUUAAAAGGUGGAAAACAACUUCAGAGUCUGACUCCAUUAAACACAGCUCGUCCCCAAAGCCUUGGAAUGUCCGCUCCUCACGUGACACCUCACAACCCAUCCUUAGACUCCAGAAGGCUGGAUGAGCCCAGGGAAGUUAAGGUGGAAAGGAGCAAGACUAGUUGGGAUGCAGUAGACUGCAGGCCACUUCUAUAUGACUAUUCUGACGACCUGCUAUAUGACUAUUAUUCCAGAACUUUCUAGACCAAAGACAUGGGUAGUUAAGUGCUUAGGUACAAGUUCUGAUGACAUUGUGGCUGUAAGAAAGUUGAAAAAAUGCAGAAAAGAUAAAACCAAUAAAGUUUAAUUCUAUCCCUUG